CCAAUCCCUGCUUUGCUCUUUACUAAUUCAUUAUUUUAACUUUGGGAAAAGUUUGCAGUGAAUUUAAAGCUAAUGAAGUGCAUAGGAAAACCUGAGGAGUCAGGUUGAUAGAGUAGCAUGGACUUGUUAAUCUCAGCCUGAUCUUGUCAGUAACAGCAGAGCAGAGGGAGAGAGAGAGGAACUCCGGCUGGGGCAGCGCUCCAAAGGACAGAGUGGAGUGCUUGUGUUUCCAGCACUAUCAAGACCAGUGAAGUGAUCUAAGAAUUCUGAUGUUGGUAUUUACAGAAGAACAGAAGCAUGUGGUCCUCCAGUGUGCUCUGGAAAUAAUGUUGUGCAUAAUCUUCCUGCAUAAUUGCACGCCAAAUGAAAAGACAUCCUUGGAUCAGUUUUUCCAGAAGCCAUCAGGUGACCCUAAGCCUCUCAAAGAAGUCUCCUCCAAGAUACCUGUCAAAAUUUACCCCCAAAAGCAUUCUCAGUGCCAUGACCCUGAUAGGAGUUCUUUCAUCCUUUGAUUUGUUGCAGUAAUCAGAGACAAAUUUAAAAAAGAAAUUCAGCUAACAGCUUUGUAUGGAACACUGAUGCUGUAUGUAGAGUGUACUGUGCAUGUAUUUAAUGACUACUGCCUUUAAAAAUUAGUUGAUAUGCACUUUUAAAAGCUUUAUGUUGGUAUUUGCAUUAAUUUCUGAAUUCCAUUCAAUGUAUUAAAUAUCAAUUACUUACCAUGUGUAAAGCAACAUUCUUGGUGCUGGAG